UACAGAGGUCCCAAGCGUUGUUCGGAUUCACUGGGCGUAAAGGGUGCGUAGGUGGUGGGGUAAGUCGGAUGUGAAAUCUCCGAGCUCAACUCGGAAAUGGCAUUGGAAACUACCCUGCUAGAGGGUCGGAGGGGGGACUGGAAUGCUUGGUGUAGCAGUGAAAUGCGUAGAUAUUAGGAAGAACACCAGUGGCGAAGGCGGCUCACUGGCCCGGUACUGACGCUGAGGCGCGAAAGCGUGGGGAGCAAACAGG
rnacentral:rRNA from 1 species